AGUGGGGAAUUUUGGACAAAUGGGCGAAAGCCUGAUCCAGCAAUGCCGCGUGAGUGAAGAAGGCCUUCGGGUUGUAAAGCUCUUUUGUCAGGGAAGAAACGGUGAGAGCUAAUAUCUUUUGCUAAUGACGGUACCUGAAGAAUAAGCACCGGCUAACUACGUGCCAGCAGCCGCGGUAAUACGUAGGGUGCAAGCGUUAAUCGGAAUUACUGGGCGUAAAGCGUGCGCAGGCGGUUUUGUAAGUCUGAUGUGAAAUCCCCGGGCUCAACCUGGGAAUUGCAUUGGAGACUGCAAGGCUAGAAUCUGGCAGAGGGGGGUAGAAUUCCACGUGUAGCAGUGAAAUGCGUAGAUAUGUGGAGGAACACCGAUGGCGAAGGCAGCCCCCUGGGUCAAGAUUGACGCUCAUGCACGAAAGCGUGGGGAGCAAACAGGAUUAGAUACCCUGGUAGUCCACGCCCUAAACGAUGUCUACUAGUUGUCGGGUCUUAAUUGACUUGGUAACGCAGCUAACGCGUGAAGUAGACCGCCUGGGGAGUACGGUCGCAAGAUUAAAACUCA
rnacentral:rRNA from 1 species